rnacentral:rRNA from 1 species
ACGGGAGGCAGCAGUGAGGAAUAUUGGUCAAUGGACGAGAGUCUGAACCAGCCAAGUAGCGUGCAGGAUGACGGCCCUAUGGGUUGUAAACUGCUUUUGUACGGGAAUAAAGUGACCUACGUGUAGGUUUUUGCAUGUACCGUUCGAAUAAGCAUCGGCUAAUUCCGUGCCAGCAGCCGCGGUAAUACGGAAGAUGCGAGCGUUAUCCGGAUUUAUUGGGUUUAAAGGGAGCGUAGGCGGUCCUUUAAGUCAGCGGUCAAAUGUCGGGGCCCAACCCCGGCCUGCCGUUGAUACUGGAGGACUUGAAUACACACAAGGAAGGUGGAAUUCGUCGUGUAGCGGUGAAAUGCUUAGAUACGACGAAGAACUCCGAUUGCGAAGGCAGCCUUCUGGAGUGCGAUUGACGCUGAGGCUCGAAAGCGCGGGUAUCAAACAGGAUUAGAUACCCUGGUA